AUAAUAAUGCGAACAAAAAAUUUAGUAAAACUAACAUUGUGUUACCAUUUCUCAGUUUGAUUCAACUUUAUGUUAGAUUUAUCCAACAAUAUAUAUGUUGGUUCAUUGGUUACAAUUUGUUUGUUUGACUUAAUUCAUUAAUUUUUUAUAUGAGAUGUAAUACUUAAUUAUAAUUGUAAAUUUUUUAUAUUAGUAAUUAACUUUAGAAAAAAAAACAUGUGAUUGCAUGAAUAAUAUAUGUUGCAUAAUGUAUAAAAUAUCUAUUUGAUAUAUCAUCUUAUAUUUGUAUAUAUACAUUUGAUAUUUGAAUUUCCUUUUUUUGUCAUACUAGCUAUGACAUAAAAACUAUAAAAAUUGCUUUCCCUUAAUUUCUUUUUGACAUUUCCUUUUGCUUUUAGCAGUCUAUCUCAUAAAAAUUGCUAUAGCAUCCUAUUUAAGCACAAUAAAAUUAAAUACUGUGGAGGUAGAAUAGCAUCUUUCCUUCUAUGAAAGAGGAGAUUAUGUAGUUUCAUUUUCCAUAUGCAAAAAAUGAGGUAAGAAGAGAGCUAGGCAAAUCCUAAGGGUUUUGCAAGUGAAAAGAAAUAAAGAGGGGAUUGAUUAAUUCCACUGUUAGGGGUCUAAUCAAAAUCACCUAGUUGAUUAAUAUAGUUGCAUUUUUUAAUUAAAGAUAAAACUUUUGAAUUCAAAAUUUCAAAUCAAUGUGAAGUUAAUGAGAAAAAAUUACAUUAAUAUUGAAAUUAAAGAUUGAACACGCACCUGUCACAAUCCUCAAGCAUGCAGCCAGGGAGACAUUUCACGUGCAUCUCAAUUUCGAGCUUUGGAAGAAAAGACUGUGAUGAUAAACCCUGGUGGUUGUGGCCUUUAAUCCACGUAAUUAGCUACGCUAAUUAAAAUAAAAUAUAAUUAAUUAAGUUAAAAUCUUGCCGUAAUUAAGUUUCUCAUGUCAAAUUUCGAUGGAGUUGAUAUAUAUCGAUCACAACUAUAUUACUAAUUUUUCU
rnacentral:lncRNA from 1 species